AGGUAUUUAAUCUAAUCAAGAUGCUUGAUUUCGACUCAAGCCAUUAUGGUUCCAACCCAUGAGUACCUU
rnacentral:tRNA from 1 species